rnacentral:rRNA from 1 species
GAUGAACGCUGGCGGCGUGCCUAAUACAUGCAAGUCGAGCGAGCAGACGAGGAGCUUGCUCCUCUGACGUUAGCAGCGGACGGGUGAGUAACACGUGGAUAACCUACCUAUAAGACUGGGAUAACUUCGGGAAACCGGAGCUAAUACCGGAUAAUAUAUUGAACCGCAUGGUUCAAUAGUGAAAGACGGUUUUGCUGUCACUUAUAGAUGGAUCCGCGCCGCAUUAGCUAGUUGGUAAGGUAACGGCUUACCAAGGCGACGAUGCGUAGCCGACCUGAGAGGGUGAUCGGCCACACUGGAACUGAGACACGGUCCAGACUCCUACGGGAGGCAGCAGUAGGGAAUCUUCCGCAAUGGGCGAAAGCCUGACGGAGCAACGCCGCGUGAGUGAUGAAGGUCUUCGGAUCGUAAAACUCUGUUAUUAGGGAAGAACAAAUGUGUAAGUAACUAUGCACGUCUUGACGGUACCUAAUCAGAAAGCCACGGCUAACUACGUG